CCUAAUACAGGCAAGUGGAGCGAGCGGAACUAACAGAUUUACUUCGGUAAUGACGUUAGGAAAGCGAGCGGCGGAUGGGUGAGUAACACGUGGGGAACCUGCCCCAUAGUCUGGGAUACCACUUGGAAACAGGUGCUAAUACCGGAUAAGAAAGCAGAUCGCAUGAUCAGCUUUUAAAAGGCGGCGUAAGCUGUCGCUAUGGGAUGGCCCCGCGGUGCAUUAGCUAGUUGGUAAGGUAAAGGCUUACCAAGGCGAUGAUGCAUAGCCGAGUUGAGAGACUGAUCGGCCACAUUGGGACUGAGACACGGCCCAAACUCCUACGGGAGGCAGCAGUAGGGAAUCUUCCACAAUGGACGCAAGUCUGAUGGAGCAACGCCGCGUGAGUGAAGAAGGUUUUCGGAUCGUAAAGCUCUGUUGUUGGUGAAGAAGGAUAGAGGUAGUAACUGGCCUUUAUUUGACGGUAAUCAACCAGAAAGUCACGGUUAACUACGUGCCAGCAGCCGCGGUAAUACGUAGGUGGCAAGCGUUGUCCGGAUUUAUUUGGCGUAAAGCGAGCGCAGGCGGAAGAAUAAGUUCUGAUGUGAAAGCCCCUCGGCUUUAACCGAGGAACUGCAUCGGGAAACUGUUUUUUUCUUUGAAUUG
rnacentral:rRNA from 1 species